rnacentral:tRNA from 1 species
GUCUGGCUGGCUCAAUCAGUAGAGCAUGUGAUUCUUGAUCUUGAAGUCAUGAGUUCAAGCUCCAUGUUGGGCA